rnacentral:rRNA from 1 species
UGCUACUAUCCAUUAAUUGGUCCAGAAGUAGUAAUAUAAAUGAAAUUUAAUGGAUUUGGCGGCAAGAUAGCCCAAUUAGAGGAACCUGCCCUAUAAACGACGUUCCACGAGAAACCUUACUUUUUUUAGUAACCAGUUCGUAUACCGUUGUUGUCAGUUCGGUUCUUUAUAGGAUACUUUCGAUAAUGGGAAAGCCAUUGACUUCAAACAAAGGUGCAGCUAAUGAAAAAGAAAGAGGUGGGUUACAAUUUUAAUGAAUAAUACGGAUGGCAUAAUGAAAAAAUUGCUUGAAGGUGGAUUUAAUAGUAAGAUUUUUUUAGGAUCUGACUAGAGCUCUAACUUGU